UACGGAGGGGGUUAGCGUUGUUCGGAAUUACUGGGCGUAAAGGGCGCGUAGGCGGUCUUUUAAGUUAGGCGUGAAAGCCCCGGGCUCAACCUGGGAACUGCGCUUAAAACUGGAAGACUAGAAAACGGAAGAGGGUAGUGGAAUUCCCAGUGUAGAGGUGAAAUUCGUAGAUAUUGGGAAGAACACCAGUGGCGAAAGCGGCUACCUGGUCCGGAUUUGACGCUGAGGUGCGAAAGUGUGGGGAGCAAACAGG
rnacentral:rRNA from 1 species